rnacentral:lncRNA from 1 species
AUAUUUUUAAUGGUAAAAAUUUGAUGAAUUUAAUGAUUGAAUUAAAAUUUUUAAAUCAAAAUAUUAUAAGAACUACAUUUUUAUAAAUUAUAAUAGAAAAAUUAAAAUUAAAAUUUUCUUUAAAAUACAAAGAUAGCUGUCAUAAUUUAACUUUUUUAUGAUUAAUUUGAUAACAUGAUGAUAAGGACCCUUACCGUCUCAUGAUAUUGUUUUAUUAUUGAAUUCUUAAUUUAUAUGUAAUUUUAUUAGAGUUUAUUUGAUAACAUGAUUAGAGAAAUUUUUAUCGUAUUAUGAUAUCGUUUCAUGAUUAAACUUCUAAAUAUUGUAGCAAAGUGAAACUUAAUACGAUGGAGUUCCUCUUGAUCACCAAGAAUGUGAGAUGGCCUUCAUCUAAGAAUUUGUAAAACACCAUUCUUAUUUUAUUAUUGCCUAUAGUGUGCCGGAAGUCAUAUUCAAAGAAAAUUAGAGCAGGCAAAAGAGAUUACAGCACCAAAAUUAAAGAUUAAAAGACGAAUUCUGUAUGCUUAAAAAAAAACCCAUGACAAAAGAAGAGAAGCUUGCAAUCCACAUGCAAUUCGCCGAAAAUGAUGCAGUCAAUGAAACAAAGAUGAAAUGGCUAAAAAUUAAUCUAGGUAACCUACCUUUUUCUUUUUAUCCUUGUUUUGUUUAUAUUUUCUAUUUAUGGACAAAGAUUCUCGGACCGGCGAGAAUAUCAAAGUUACCAACCAAAAUUCCAACUUGUCAUCAUUUCUGUCAGAACCCAGAAAAUCAUAAACAAAACAAUGGCUGAUCCCCACUCCUGAGAUAUCCUUUGGAUCCUAAGAAAAUUUUCCUUGACUAUGCUCUGUAAUUCUCCGAAUGCUAAAAAGAGGAAAACAAAGGGUUUAGGAUGAUUUGAUGAUCAAAGGCACUUUGGUUCAAAGAUUGUGGUGGGACAGAGGGGGAGACAAAUGGAUACAUCAGAUUCAUAGGGAUCAGACAAGUUAGUUGACUGGUCAAAUUUAUAUCAGUCAAAGAACACACUGAAUAAUAAUAAAGUGAAAGUAGAAUAGAAAAUUGUGCUUGAGAGCGAGAGGGAGAUGGAGGAUGGUAGCAUCUUCGGUGAAGAAAAGAAUCCAGCAAUCAGCAUUCACACUCCAAAGAAUCUCUAUGACUACGAUGAAAAAUUCUCUUCUAAAAUUGUGUGCUGGUUUUGAUCCAUAACAAC